CUAACAUGCAAGUCGAACGAUGAUCCCAGCUUGCUGGGGGAUUAGUGGCGAACGGGUGAGUAACACGUGAGUAACCUGCCCUUGACUCUGGGAUAAGCCUGGGAAACUGGGUCUAAUACCGGAUAUGACUCCUCAUCGCAUGGUGGGGGGUGGAAAGCUUUUGUGGUUUUGGAUGGACUCGCGGCCUAUCAGCUUGUUGGUGGGGUAAUGGCCUACCAAGGCGACGACGGGUAGCCGGCCUGAGAGGGUGACCGGCCACACUGGGACUGAGACACGGCCCAGACUCCUACGGGAGGCAGCAGUGGGGAAUAUUGCACAAUGGGCGCAAGCCUGAUGCAGCGACGCCGCGUGAGGGAUGACGGCCUUCGGGUUGUAAACCUCUUUCAGUAGGGAAGAAGCGAAAGUGACGGUACCUGCAGAAGAAGCGCCGGCUAACUACGUGCCAGCAGCCGCGGUAAUACGUAGGGCGCAAGCGUUAUCCGGAAUUAUUGGGCGUAAAGAGCUCGUAGGCGGUUUGUCGCGUCUGCUGUGAAAGACCGGGGCUCAACUCCGGUUCUGCAGUGGGUACGGGCAGACUAGAGUGCAGUAGGGGAGACUGGAAUUCCUGGUGUAGCGGUGAAAUGCGCAGAUAUCAGGAGGAACACCGAUGGCGAAGGCAGGUCUCUGGGCUGUAACUGACGCUGAGGAGCGAAAGCAUGGGGAGCGAACAGGAUUAGAUACCCUGGUAGUCCAUGCCGUAAACGUUGGGCACUAGGUGUGGGGGACAUUCCACGUUUUCCGCGCCGUAGCUAACGCAUUAAGUGCCCCGCCUGGGGAGUACGGCCGCAAGGCUAAAACUCAAAG
rnacentral:rRNA from 1 species